rnacentral:misc_RNA from 1 species
UCUCCCGUGAGGGAGCAGUCUCGCCUGACCAUAUAGGCAACAGGCAAUGAGGGUUGCGUUCGUUACCCCACUGAAGGGAACAGUUCAAACCACGAACUGACGACGACCGUGCACCACCUGCCAAGCACCCUCGAAGGCUCCCGACGUUUCUGCCGGGAUGCAGCUUGGUUUCUAAUCUUGGUAAGGUUCUUCGUUUGUCGACGAAUUGAGCCACAUAAUCCACCGCUUGUGCGAAUCCCCGUCUAUUCCUUUGAGUUUUAAGCUUGCGCUCGUACUACCCAGGCGGCUCGCUUAUCGCGUUUGCUUAGUCUCGCAGAGGGUCGAUACUCCGCGAAACGAGCGAGCAACGUUGAGGGCCAGGACUAC